rnacentral:lncRNA from 1 species
AGAAGUGUAUAUAUCUAGUUAAUGCAAAAAUCCUAAUUUAAUUGUCAGUUAUCUCCUUUAUUCAGAAAUGGCUUUUAUCUGUCAUCUCUGCUUUCUUUUGUUUAAAUUGGGGGAGUAAUCUUUUUUUAUCAUUUUUGUUUCUACUUAAUUGGUUUCUAUAAGAAUUUCUUGACACUCCUAAAAGAUUUUUAGAUACAUACAAAAUGCCCUUUUGAUCUUUUUUAUCUUUUUUUAUCUUUUUGAUCAUUUUUUAUAUGUUUUCAAUACAAAAAGUAAAAUAAACAGCAAAAUGAAGCAAAGAAAAGACAAUUAUUUAUAGCACCAGUAAAUCAAUAGUAAGGAAAACCACAGGGGUAAAGGCUGCAGGUGGCCAGCAGUAACUUCAGUUAUUGCAUAGAUUAAAAACAUAUAUUUGUCACACACUUUACUAUCAUGUAGGCCCAGUAGUGCUUU